CCAAUAGCGUAUAUUAAAGUUGUUGCAGUUAAAAAGCUCGUAGUUGAAUUUCGGGGUCAGUAGGCUGGUCGUGCCACAGGUACGUACUGGUCUCACUGAUUCCUCCUUCCUGAUGAACCGUAAUGCCAUUAAUUUGGUGUUGCGGGGAAACUGGACUGUUACUUUGAAAAAAUUAGGGUGUUUAAAGCAGGCUAACGCUUGAAUACAUUAGCAUGGAAUAAUGAAAUAGGACGUUCGAUCCUAUUUUGUUGGUUUCUAGGAUUGACGUAAUGAUUAAUAGGGAUAGUUGGGGGCAUUAGUAUUCAAUUGUCAGAGGUGAAAUUCUUGGAUUUAUUGAAGACUAACUACUGCGAAAGCAUUUGCCAAGGAUGUUUUCAUUAAUCAAGAACGAAAGUUAGGGGAUCGAAGACGAUCAGAUACCGUCGUAGUCUUAACCAUAAACUAUGCCGACUAGGGAUCGGAUGAUGUUAAUUUUUUAAUGACUCAUUCGGCGCCUUACG
rnacentral:rRNA from 1 species